UUAUUUUCAUUACGUGAGACUUGCUUGAGGACUGGUUUCAAGUUGGUGGUAAGAUUCAGCUUCAUUCAAAACUCUAGCACCAUUUGAAAUCAGUGCUUCAGUAGGUCCAGCCAUCUGGAUUUAACA
rnacentral:precursor_RNA from 12 species